UGGCGCAAUGGGUUAGUGCGUUCGGCUGUUAACCGAAAGGUUGGCGGUUCGAGCCCACC
rnacentral:tRNA from 1 species